ACAUUGAAUGAUACUUUUUAUAUUAUUUUUCAUCUCUUUUAAAAUAAUGUAACAGGAUUUUAAAUAUUGGUCCAAACUACUGUGUUUUUAAAAGACAAUUCUACCAAACUCCCAAAUAGCAUCUUUUAAUAAUUGUGGAGUCGUCUGCCAUGGUGGAAAAAGAGAUUCAACCCGACCAGUUUACUUCCACAGAAACCGCGUUCCUCACCGUGUGUGGGAGAUGGGUUUUCCUUUCUUUGAAACAGCUAUAUAUAUCCAAUGCAAGGCAAGAGGAAAUGCAACCCAAGGUGAAGAUAUGUGAUCGAACAGUUCAUCAGGGGUUGCAUCAGGGUCCUGGUUUUCAGACCUGAUGGAGAGAGAAGAAGGGAAGAGGCAUCAAGAAAGCAAGACUUUCAAGCAAGAAGCUGUUCAUGAAGGCCUGGUGGAAGAAGAGAAAUGAAGAGGAAAAAGAGCGGGUAUAGUGGAGCAAAGAAGCAUCAGAGAGGGCAAAGACAUGUUAAAGGCAAAAGUUGAAGCCAUUGAAUGUAAAUCUGAACAAUUCCAGCACAUAUUUAGCAUGCAGACAUGUUAGAUAUUUGGUGGUGUUGUCUCAGAUUCAUAAUCAAAGGCUUCAAAAUUUUCUUUAACUUGUCUUUGCCCUUCUCUGAUGUUUCUUUUCUUUGCUUAUCAAAUUUCUUUUGUUUUCUUCUUUUUGGGUCCAAAAUCAUGCAGUUUCAUAUGUGUUGGAAACCAGAUGCCAGAUAUCUUUCACUUUUCAUGAUUUACUUGAGCAAGAACAGCUUCGAAUCAGGAAGGUGACCAUUGUUGGAAGGGAAGUCUUAACUCAAACCAGAAAAGAAUGAAGAACCCACUUCCACCAUUGAAGCAAAUCAUAUCACAUCCUGAUCAUAUCUUGUUUGUAUUUGUAAUCUUAUCUUUUUUCCGAGCUUGUAACCUUAUACUCAAUCAAUAAAUAUGGCAAGCAUAACCCUUCAAUCCAAA